rnacentral:tRNA from 1 species
GAGGGUAUAGCUCAAUGGUAGAGUGAGUGCUCAGCAUGCAUGAGGCCCUUGGUUCAAUCCCUAGUACAUCCA